GGGGAAGUGGCGGAAUGGUAGACGCACAGGACUUAAAAUCCUGUGUUGGAGACAGCGUGUGGGUUCGAGUCCCAUCUUCCCCA
rnacentral:tRNA from 1 species